CAUGGCAAAUGUGACUUAGCCUACUUUCCACAUAGAGGAUGUUCAUGAUUUGAUACUCAUCUUGAACGAGUGUGGCUGGUGAGAACUGUGAAUGCAGCUGUCUCCUGGGAUCACCAAACCCCUGUUUCAGAGCCUGCUCUUGGGAGAAACCACUGGAAGACAAUUCUUUACAGGAUUCAUGACUACAUCCCAUACAGAAACUCAGGGGAAGAGAUCCAAGAAAGUGAAACAUAAGCCACACAGAGUACUUCCCCAUCCUUAACAGGUGUUAAAAAUAUCAGCUUGUGAGUGAUUGAUAUGCACAGGAUGUCAUAAAAGUGCAAGCCUUGGAAGGCCUUUUCUGAUACACUGAAAAUAGAAAAAGUGGGAAACCAGACUUCAAAAUUCAUGUGCUUGUUUUUCUGACAUUUAAACUUUGGCCCUGGCCACUAUUGAUUAACAGUAGAACCACUAGACUCUUUAUGGUAUAAAUAAAUACAUCUGUAGAUGAGAGAUCAAAUGUUGCUUAUCUGUUGAUGAGUAGAGAAUUCUACACUUUUAGUUAUUUUUAGGAGUGCACUGAAGCAGUUUUUAUGGGUUCCUCAGACCAAUUGUGCCAGUCUCUUCUAAACUCUGUUCAAUGACAUCACAGUGGUAGCUUGAAACGGAUUGUGUUGGUGGAAUUUAUGUCAUGAGAAUGGCAAAUGUUACAGUUAGGGCUUUUUCCCUCCGAGAGCCAGUUGUUAAACAUUUAUUAGAACAUUACAAUUAUUAGGGCCCUUUUUAUGCUUUCUUUCCUGAUGACUACAUGAUUAUAUUCAGUUUAUUUGUGUCAAAUUCCCCAUCCUUCAUUAUAGUGAUCAAGUCAGCAAAUGAUAUUAGAUUUGAAUUUUCAUAAAUUUGCUUUUACAUGAGCAGAAACCCAUAUUCAAGCAAUGGCUUUGUGCCUUCUCUUUCAUAAUAAAUUUUUUGUUGUGACUAGUAACUACAAAAAGGCAACUAUAAGCUAGAUUCUCUUUGAUUUUAUUUUUUUUUAUCAUUAAUCUUUCCAAACAAAAAGAGGCACUCUUAUUCCAGUUUUUUGGUAAGAUUUAACAUCAGUUAGAGGCUGAAUGCCUCCAGUUACAAUAACAAUAGAUUUCAUUUCCUUUGUCCUAGCAAGUGCUUUAUAAAUGAGUGUCCCUGGCUUAGGGUCCUGCUUCCAGCUCUGCUUCAUCAUCCUGAAUUGUGGGGCAGGUUCUCUGAGUGAACAUCCUGAGAAGUAAAGAAUCAGGAGCUCCAGGAAACUGUUGGCCUUGACUCUGCUGCCAUCUCGAUUUCUCUCGACCACCUCAGUAUUUCUUUCUUCUUCCAUUUUUCCAAUUCUCUUCUCAUCAUCAUCUGAUUAUUGUAUUUAUUCACUUGCUAUAUCUCAGACUUAAAUUUUAAAAAAGAAACAGUUGAUGGGAAAGAUGACUACAUAGUUAUGUGGGUGAUGUAGGUAAGGAAGCAAUUUGUCAACUCUUGAAACUGAUAUUUUUUAAAUGCAUGUUCAAUAUUUAUUUGAGCAAGAGGGAUAUCAGAACCUGUUAAGAAUCCUUUGUUGUUUCAACAUGAAAACCCUAUUCCUGUCUAUUCUGUGGAACCAAUUUACAUGUAGUUAGCUGUGAAAGGAACUGAGGAUGUGGGGCUGGGUGAACUGGCACUGCAUUUUCAAAUUAAUUCGAUGACAUUUUAAUGUUCCUUAGAGAAGUGCUUUUCAAUUUCUCAUGUGUGUAUCUGUCACCCAGGAAUCUUGUUAAAAUGAGAUGCAGUAAAUUCUGAUUCAGUCAGUCUCAGGCAGGGCCUGAGAUUCUGCAUUCCUAACAAGUUCCCACAUGACGCUGGUGCUGCUGGUCUAGGAUCACACUUUGGUGGGGGGAGGUGUCACAACCCCUUUACUCUGGCUUGAAUGGAAGGGACAACAGUCCUAUAUGAAGGGGGGGACAAUAAGCUAUUUUUUUUAAACUAUUUUCUUUCUUUCUCUCUGUUUUUUUUUUACUUAUGAAGACUUAACACUUUCUUGGGGAUUGUGUGAGUGGUUUAUUGGCCUCUCACAUUAAGAAAUUCCUUGCUUAUUUUAGAUAUCUUGCCAAAAAUGGUGGUUUAUAAUCUUAGGAGAGAAUUCUGUGAUUCUGUGAUUUUAGAACUCACUUUUCAAAGUUGCUUCUUAAAACAUGAGAUGUGAAAGCCCUGAUAGGUCUAUACUUGUGACUGUUUUAAAAAUGAUAAGAUUUUGAUCUAUUCAGUAGGAAUCUCUGUAAAACACCUUCUUUUAAAAGGAAUAAUAAGGAAUAAUAAAGGACAUUGGAACUGAAAAACAUGAAACAUAAAGCCCACCUGUGAUGAUUUAUCCAGACACCCAGCUAGUGCUAUUUCUGUAAGAAUUGUUGUCAUGAUAAUGGUGUAAAUUUGCAUCUUCAUGUUGUAGGGCAUUCUGGUUUAUCAAUAUGGGAUAUAAAGCUGCCAUGCAUAAAGCUGAUCUCCCACCCCACAUGAAGUUUUCAGCUGUACAAUUCUGAGUGAACCAUGAACUGCCUACGAUGUGUUCUUGCCAGGCACACAUUAGAUGCUCAAUAAAUAUUUGUUGAAUGGAUUAAAUCCAAAGGAGCUUCAUAUGCGUAACUUAUAUACA